CAUGAUUCAGCGGCGGACGGGUGAGUAAUGCCUAGGAAUCUGCCUAUUAGUGGGGGACAACGUUUCGAAAGGAACGCUAAUACCGCAUACGUCCUACGGGAGAAAGCAGGGGACCUUCGGGCCUUGCGCUAAUAGAUGAGCCUAGGUCGGAUUAGCUAGUUGGUGAGGUAAUGGCUCACCAAGGCGACGAUCCGUAACUGGUCUGAGAGGAUGAUCAGUCACACUGGAACUGAGACACGGUCCAGACUCCUACGGGAGGCAGCAGUGGGGAAUAUUGGACAAUGGGCGAAAGCCUGAUCCAGCCAUGCCGCGUGUGUGAAGAAGGUCUUCGGAUUGUAAAGCACUUUAAGUUGGGAGGAAGGGCAUUAACCUAAUACGUUAGUGUUUUGACGUUACCGACAGAAUAAGCACCGGCUAACUUCGUGCCAGCAGCCGCGGUAAUACGAAGGGUGCAAGCGUUAAUCGGAAUUACUGGGCGUAAAGCGCGCGUAGGUGGUUUGUUAAGUUGAACGUGAAAGCCCCGGGCUCAACCUGGGAACUGCAUCCAAAACUGGCAAGCUAGAGUAUGGCAGAGGGUGGUGGAAUUUCCUGUGUAGCGGU
rnacentral:rRNA from 1 species